rnacentral:lncRNA from 1 species
UUCACCAAAUAUGUUGACUCAUUUCAUAAAUAGAUCAGCACAUUUCAUAAAUAGCAAUCCUAUUGCUAAUUACAUAACAGAAAAUAACUCAAUCAAAAUAAAUCAUGAAUAUUUCUUUAGAUCUAAUCUAACAUAUUCAUGAUAAAUUUCAUAAUUGAACCUUUACAAUUAAUUUUUUUCGCUGCUUCAUCUGCAUGGGAU